GAACCUGCGGAAGGAUCAUUAUCAAAACAGCGGACUUCGGUCCUUGCUGCACCCUUGUCUUUUGCGUACCGUAUGUUUCCUCGGCGGGCUUGCCUGCCGGUUGGACAUUAUCAAACCUUUUUGUAGUUGCAAUCAGCGUCAGAAAAUAAACAAUAAUUACAACUUUCAACAACGGAUCUCUUGGUUCUGGCAUCGAUGAAGAACGCAGCGAAAUGCGAAAAGUAGUGUGAAUUGCAGAAUUCAGUGAAUCAUCGAAUCUUUGAACGCACAUUGCGCCCCUUGGUAUUCCAUGGGGCAUGCCUGUUCGAGCGUCAUUUUGUACCCUCAAGCACUGCUUGGUGUUGGGCGUUUGUCCUGCAAAGGACUCGCCUGAAAGCGAUUGGCGGCCAACGUACUGGUGGUAGAGCGCAGCACAAUUUGCGUCUCUCCCUUCUACGUCGGCGUCCAUGAAGCCUUUUUUCAACGUUUGACCUCGGAUCAGGUAGGGAUACCCGCUGAACUUAAGCAUAUCAAUAAGCGGAG
rnacentral:rRNA from 1 species